rnacentral:rRNA from 1 species
CAGCCGCCACGGUAAAACGGAGGGUGCAAGCGUUAAUCGGAAUUACUGGGCGUAAAGCGCACGCAGGCGGUCUGACAAGUCAGAUGUGAAAUCCCCGGGCUUAACCUGGGAACUGCAUUUGAAACUGUCAGGCUGGAGUCUUGUAGAGGGGGGUGGAAUUCCAGGUGUAGCGGUGAAAUGCGUAGAGAUCUGGAGGAAUACCGGUGGCGAAGGCGGCCCCCUGGACAAAGACUGACGCUCAGGUGCGAAAGCGUGGGGAGCAAACAGGAUUAGAUACCCGGGUAGUCCCUGUCUCUUAUAA